UACGUAGGGUGCGAGCGUUAAUCGGAAUUACUGGGCGUAAAGCGUGCGCAGGCGGUUUUGCAAGCCGGAUGUGAAAUCCCCGGGCUCAACCUGGGAAUGGCAUUCGGGACUGCAAGGCUGGAGUGCGGCAGAGGAGACUGGAAUUCCUGGUGUAGCAGUGAAAUGCGUAGAUAUCAGGAGGAACACCUGUGGCGAAAGCGGCUCACUGGACCAUUACUGACGCUGAUGCACGAAAGCUAGGGGAGCAAACAGG
rnacentral:rRNA from 1 species